rnacentral:rRNA from 1 species
UACGUAGGUGACAAGCGUUGUCCGGAUUUACUGGGCGUAAAGAGCGCGCAGGCGGUCGUUCAAGUCGAGUGUGAAAGCCCCCGGCUCAACUGGGGAGGGUCAUUCGAUACUGAUCGACUCGAAGGCAGGAGAGGGUAGUGGAAUCCCCGGUGUAGUGGUGAAAUGCGUAGAUAUCGGGAGGAACACCAGUGGCGAAGGCGACUACCUGGCCUGUUCUUGACGCUGAGGCGCGAAAGCUAGGGGAGCAAACGGG